rnacentral:rRNA from 1 species
GACGAACGCUGGCGGCGUGCCUAAUACAUGCAAGUAGGACGCAGUUGCGAACGGGUGAGUAACGCGUAGGUAACUACCUAUUAGAGGGGGAUAACUAUUGGAUACGAUAGCUAAUACCGCAUACUUGCCAAUGGACCUGCGUUGUAUUAGCUAGUAGGUAGGGUAAUGGGCUACCUAGGCAACGAUACAUAGCCGGCCUGAGAGGGUGAUCGGCCAACCUGGGAAGGAGACACGGCCCAGGCCCCUUCGGGAGGAAGCAGUAGGGAAUGUUCGGCAAUGGGGGGAACCCGGACCGAGCAACGCCGCGUGAGUGAAGAAGGGUUUCGGAUCGUAAAGCUAGGUUGUUAAGGAAGCGGUACUUAACCAGAAAGGGACGGCUAACUACGUGCCAGAAGCCGCGGUAAUAC